rnacentral:rRNA from 1 species
GUCGAGAAUCUUUCACAAUGGGGGCAACCCUGAUGGAGCGACGCCGCGUGGAGGAUAAGGUCUUCGGAUUGUAAACUCCUGUCAUGCGUGAACAAGGUUGCUUGGUUAAUACCUGGGCAAAUUGAUGGUAACGCAAGAGGAAGAGACGGCUAACUCUGUGCCAGCAGCCGCGGUAAUACAGAGGUCUCAAGCGUUGUUCGGAAUCACUGGGCGUAAAGGGUGCGUAGGUGGCGUGGUAAGUCAGAUGUGAAAGCCCGGGGCUCAACCUCGGAACUGCAUCCUAUACUGCCAUGCUAGAGUACUGGAGAGGUGACUAGAAUUCUCGGUGUAGCAGUGAAAUGCGUAGAUAUCGAGAGGAAUACCAAAGGCGUAGGCAGGUCACUGGACAGUUACUGACACUGAGGCACGAAGGCCAGGGGAGCGAACGGGAUUAGAUACCCCUGUAGUCC